UUCUAUUGCAUAAGGUGUGCACCAAGACUGAGAGCAAAGCUGACAUCUAGUUAUAAGGCAACAUUCGAUGGCACAGCCCUGUGCUGUAGGUGCCGAGGAGGGAGUGGGACGUGAAGCAAGGAAGCCCGUAUGGCGAAGGAUGUCUCGUUCUAUGCGGGCUGUGUGGGGGCAGGGCACUAAUUUUUAAAAUCUCUAUUAAAUCUCUACUAUGUGACUAACACUCUGUUAAAUGCUCUGGGGGAAAAAUUCCAAGAAGUUGACGUAUAAUUAAAUGUGUGUCCCCUGUCUACCAAGGUCACAGUAUUAUGUUUGAGAAGGGACAGCCACAGCCACAGGAGAGACAGGUGUUUACAACUUAAAGUAAAAAAUAAAUAAACACGGCCUGAAAUAUGACACAAGUGAACUUGGUUAUUGCUGAUAAGUGUGCCAUAGAUGUCAGAGGACCCUUCAAGCAAGAGCCAUUCAAUUAAAGAAGACUUCAGGGAAGAGACGAAGGAUGGGGCCUUCAAAACUGGGUCAGAAUUUAGUAAGUGAGGACAUUCUAGCCGAGAAUAAGUAGCAUAUACAAGGAUAUGGAGGCAGGAAAAUGCCAGGCAUGUUUGUGGGGAGCCAUGUUUCUUCACCUUGGCUUUAGCUAAAGUUCCAUAAGGGAUUUGUGAGAAAUAAAGUUGGAGAAUAGGUGAAUCAGUGCCAGGCAGCAGA